ensembl:lncRNA
UGCUGCUCCAAAUACAGGCCGCGGGUAGCCGUCAAGAUACAAGCCUCUGCACGAGCUCAACCCCAAAUGAGCGUUCUGCUCUUCCCCGAGCAUUAGUGUGAUGGCACCGCGGCUCUCUUCCUCCCUCUCGCUCGGUCCGUUCAUUAUAAUGGCGGCGUGUGUGUCGACUGAGGCUCCACGGCGGCGAAGGAGCCCCGUAUUCAGGUCAACUCGCAGCCAGAGCGAUUCCUCGAUUAUUCCUUAUUUAUCCCGGUCAUUCCACCCCCCUGGUGUGGCGUGAAGCCUCGGGAAGAAGUGUUUUAAAGUGCGGGGAUCCGGGGCUAAUGACGAGCUGAGGGCGGAUCGUCAGCGGGCCAAGAGCUGCACGUCGCCCCACUCAGAUCAUCAGCAGGCCAACUUCUUAUUCAAGCCGAUACGGCGAGAGAGUGGAGCUAACGUUGGGUUGUCCGGGUUGUUAACGGUAUUAGAAUCAUCCACUCGGAGUCCACUAGAGGAUUUACACACCGAGAGGCCAACAACAUCUCGGAAGUGGGCGGAUAAUGAGGGGAAGCGAGGACGGCCGCGAGGAGAAGCUGCUGAGCGAGCAAACGGCGGUCCUGAGGUCUAAAACCCAGAAGCAAACACUAAGCGUUGAGCACAGUGAGUUUGGUGGAGGCAACAAUCUGGUUGGAAAGCCGCAGCAGCACUUGGCAAAAGGCAUCGGGAUAUUUUCCUCCCUUGGCACACUGAAUGUAAUUUAGUCUUUACGCAGCGAGCACAGUUACCACCUGCUUUCUAUUUUCUUGGGCUUGACAUUUGAGGAUUUGAGAUACGUUUGUGAAAUGCUUUGAGAAAAACAAACAAACAGUGUGGUUUGACUUGAGUACAUUUCCUGUGAUAUCUGUUACUGGAGCCUGAUGAGAUUAAACAUUUGAAGUGAGCAGAAUGUCAAACCAAAUUUGUCUUCAUAGGCAAAAUAAACAUUUCUUUAACUCAUUCAACGCUGUUGUUUCUGUAUUCACCUGAACUCCUUCCUUAUUCUCACAAUAAGAC